UACGUAGGGGGCUAGCGUUGUCCGGAUUUAUUGGGCGUAAAGAGCGUGUAGGCGGCCAGGUAGGUCCGUUGUGAAAACUCGAGGCUCAACCUCGAGACGUCGGCGGAAACCCUCUGGCUAGAGUCCGGAAGAGGAGAGUGGAAUUCCUGGUGUAGCGGUGAAAUGCGCAGAUAUCAGGAAGAACACCCGUGGCGAAGGCGGCUCUCUGGGACGGUACUGACGCUGAGGCGCGAAAGCGUGGGGAGCAAACAGG
rnacentral:rRNA from 1 species